AUUUUAUUAGUAUAUAUAGUAUGGUUGUUUUCCAAACAAUUGGUUUAAGUAUAAUUAUUUAAAUAAAAUA
rnacentral:tRNA from 1 species